rfam:Agrilus planipennis Contig23339, whole genome shotgun sequence.
AAGUACUCCCAUCCCCAUUUUUAUAUCUCCCUCUCCCCAAUAUAGCCAAAAUCUUUCCUUUUGGGGUAACAGCUUUAUGGUUGAAAUCCCAUCUCGAGGAGGAGUUUUAGUCGGUAGGCGCCACGGCUAAUCCGAACUACCCCCCUUCAGGGGGUGUCUUUUGAAGAUUUCCCCUCCUCGAGGCUA